rnacentral:misc_RNA from 1 species
GAUGAAGAACGCAGCGAAAUGUGAUAAGUAAUGUGAAUUGCAGAAUCCAGUGAAUCAUCGAAUCUUUGAACGCACAUUGCGCCCCCUGGUAUUCCGGGGGGCAUGCCUGUCCGAGCGUCAUUACAACCCUCAAGCUCAGCUUGGUGUUGGGCCCCGCCGCCCCGGCGGGCCCUAAAGUCAGUGGCGGUGCCGUCCGGCUCCGAGCGUAGUAAUUCUUCUCGCUCUGGAGGUCCGGUCGUGUGCUCGCCAGCAACCCCCAAUUUUUUUCAGGUUGACCUCGGAUCAGGUAGGGAUACCCGCUGAACUUAAGCAUAUCAAUAAGCGGAGGA